GGGUGGAUUAGUGGCGAACGGGUGAGUAACACGUGGGCAAUCUGCCCUGCACUCUGGGACAAGCCCUGGAAACGGGGUCUAAUACCGGAUAUGACCAAUUUCCGCAUGGUGGUUGGUGGAAAGCUCCGGCGGUGCAGGAUGAGCCCGCGGCCUAUCAGCUUGUUGGUGGGGUGAUGGCCUACCAAGGCGACGACGGGUAGCCGGCCUGAGAGGGCGACCGGCCACACUGGGACUGAGACACGGCCCAGACUCCUACGGGAGGCAGCAGUGGGGAAUAUUGCACAAUGGGCGAAAGCCUGAUGCAGCGACGCCGCGUGAGGGAUGACGGCCUUCGGGUUGUAAACCUCUUUCAGCAGGGAAGAAGCUUUUGUGACGGUACCUGCAGAAGAAGCGCCGGCUAACUACGUGCCAUUUGCCGCGGUAAUACGUAGGGCGCGAGCGUUGUCCGGAAUUAUUGGGCGUAAAGAGCUCGUAGGCGGCUUGUUGCGUCGGUUGUGAAAGCCCGGGGCUUAACCCCGGGUCUGCAGUCGAUACGGGCAGGCUAGAGUUCGGUAGGGGAGAUCGGAAUUCCUGGUGUAGCGGUGAAAUGCGCAGAUAUCAGGAGGAACACCGGUGGCGAAGGCGGAUCUCUGGGCCGAUACUGACGCUGA
rnacentral:rRNA from 1 species